rnacentral:rRNA from 1 species
UACGAAGGGGGCUAGCGUUGCUCGGAAUUACUGGGCGUAAAGGGCGCGUAGGCGGCUAGUUUAGUCAGAGGUGAAAGCCCAGGGCUCAACCUUGGAAUUGCCUUUGAUACUGGCUAUCUUGAGUAUGGGAGAGGUGUGUGGAACUCCGAGUGUAGAGGUGAAAUUCGUAGAUAUUCGGAAGAACACCAGUGGCGAAGGCGACACACUGGCCCAUUACUGACGCUGAGGCUCGAAAGCGUGGGGAGCAAACAGG